AUAAUUACAUUGCUGCUACUUCUAUGUUGAAGCAUGCUUUUUAAACACUGUAGUUAUUGAAUAUUUACAAUAUGUAUCAUUUAAACUUCAUGUAAAAGCACAAGUAUGACUGUCUGACUUCAAUACAAACACCAUACUUGGAUUUCCCCCCAAAAUGAAAUGUAAAAUACUGCUAAUGCAGCAGCUGCAUCUCUGUGUUCAUAAAAUUCCACAAAGCAAUAUGGGUCAUUGCUUGUAUGCUGCAAAACAGAAAAUCCAACAGAAGAGUUGACCCUUCUGCUAUCGGGUUGCUGAGAAGAAAAUCCAGGAAAAAACAUUACUGAUAGCUGGGAAUAAUUAAGUGGUUGGAAGAUGGAAUUCAUUCAUUAGAUUGAGCUUCAGGUACUCACAGAGUCCGGGGCUGCCCGUCGUCUUCCAUCAUGG
rnacentral:lncRNA from 1 species